rnacentral:rRNA from 1 species
GAGCGAACGCUGGCUUCCGGCCUAACACAUGCAAGUCGAGCGGGCGUAUCAAUACGUCAGCGGCAGACGGGUGAGUCACGCGUGGGAACGUACCUUUUGGUUCGGAACAACACAGGGAAACUUGUGCUAAUACCGGAUAAGCCCUUACGGGGAAAGAUUUAUCGCCGAAAGAUCGGCCCGCGUCUGAUUAGCUAGUUGGUGAGGUAAUGGCUCACCAAGGCGACGAUCAGUAGCUGGUCUGAGAGGAUGAUCAGCCACACUGGGACUGAGACACGGCCCAUACUCCUACGGGAGGCAGCAAUGGG